rnacentral:misc_RNA from 1 species
GAGUUACAAGACAACCCAAAACUGUUAUGAUCUUCUGUGAGCUCAGCAAAGAAGGAAACGGAGAAAAGAAGAUAGUGUUCCUUUGCCUGGUUCCAAAGAUAUCUCCAACAUAGCAAUCGAAUGAAACUAUACUUGUGAAGAACGAAGAUAUGGCCGAUAAGGGUCGGACUUUGCCCGUUGAUCGGAAUCUCUUCCUCGAUGGGUGUGCCAGAACUGCCGCCACUCCCUUUGCAUCUCUGGCGUCGAUUCCUACGCCGAAAAAUUCUUAAACGAUUCCUCUUCUCGCUCCGCGAUGCAGGGCUUUUCAAUGCAUGGGGCUAACAGUGUGCUAGGCUCAACGCGAAUGGACAAUUCUUUUGUUGUGUUGCCAAAACAAAGACCCCAAGCACAGGGAGUCCCACCGCGUCCUCGCAAUGGAGCUGUUCAGCCUGAUACGGGCCAGUCUGGAAAGGCCAUGGAAGAGUCUUUUGUGGUUGUAUAUAAAUCUGAGCCUGCAUCUGAUGGAGGUGGGACACAUUUACCAUCACUAGAAGGAGGACCAAAUGGACAGUUGCAGCCCAACAAUGCUGGGUUUCACUCUACCAUAACUGUCCUGAAACGUGCCUUUGAGAUUGCUACAUCCCAGACACAGGUUGAGCAACCUUUAUGCCUUGAGUGCAUGAGGGUGUUGUCUGAUAAACUUGACAAGGAGGUUGAAGAUGUAAACAGAGACAUUGAAGCAUAUGAAGCCUGCCUUCAGCGCUUGGAGGGGGAAACACGAGAUGUUCUUAGUGAGGCUGAUUUUCUUAAGGAGAAACUUAAGAUUGAAGAAGAAGAGAGAAACUUGAAGCAGC